UUGUUCAUUGCGCACAUUAUAAGUUUGGUGUGCCUCAAUGUAUCCCUUUGUGCUCAAUUGGAUUAAAAUUUAAACAACAGCCGUGAUAUCAAUUGUGCCUCAUAACAAAAACAUAAUUUUGUUUAGUCUUAUGCAUUAAGUGAUCAUAGACUUGUUUUCCUUUUUUAGUUUGGCAAUGUAUCUAUUAAGAGAGUGAUAUUUUGUUUAUAAUCUAUUAUUUAUUCCUCUCAUUCUGAAAAGCUAUUAAGCGUGAGAUAAAAAAUAUGGUUUGUUUCGAUUUUCAUUCUUUUAGUUGUAGACUUGUAGUGCUCUGCAGGGUAAGCUUAAUUAUAUCUAUAUUUUCCUUUCAAUAUUUUUGUUGAAUAAUAUUUGAUACAUAAGAGGGUGAACCCUGGCACAGCGGUAAAGUUGUGUCUUGGUGACUGGUUGGUCAUGGGUUCAAUUCUGGAACAGCCUCUUUGCAUAUGCAAGGAUAAGGCUGCGCACAAUUACCCUUCCCCAUAUCUUCGCUCUACGAGGAGCCAGCCUCCGGGCACUAGAAUGUUCUUCAACAUAUUUUGAUGGUUGUGCUGUGCUGUUGGGGCUAUAGAAGCUUGAAAAGUUUGGUGCUUUCUAAUCUUACCAAGUUCCUGAAUUGUGUGCUGUUCAUAUGCCUUUAUGGAACAGAAAUAUUGUUGUGUUACUUGGCUUGCUGACUUGAUUUUUGAAGUAUUGCUUUCAGUGUCUAUACUUUCUGAAUGUUAGUUAUUCUGCCUUGUGUUCAUGAAACUGCUGCUUGUUUUUAGGUACCAACACAUGGGAUAGAUUUGAACUUCGUGUCCACAAGAGAGUGAUUGACCUCUACAGUUCCCCAGAUGUGGUUAAGCAGAUUACCUCUAUCACAAUCGAACCUGGUGUGGAAGUUGAGGUGACCAUUGCAGAUGCUUGAUCUAUAUCCAAAUUUUAACUGUUAUGGUUUCCUAGUUUUUCGUCUCCUCUUAUUCUGUAUUUUAUAAGUUUUGAUUGCGGGACCGAGUUGAAUUGUUUUCUUUUGUUUUACGGUUGUAGACGGUUGAUGAAUACCUGAGAAAUGUCAUUUUUAUAUAUUCUAGAAUCCUACAUAUAUUUGUUUUGAAAUUAUUACGAAUCAUUUCUAAUGGACUCAGCUAAGAUUAUAUCUUUUCCUUUUCCUUUAUCAUGUUCUGCAAAUUUUUAAACCUGAAACUGAUUGUGAACUAGAUAAGUUGGAAAGGUGUUUUUGCAAAUUUGUACAAUUUCAAAUUUUACAAAGAUAAAAGCGAGGAAAAAAAGAAAAUAUAAAGCACUUCUAAACAAAGAAAAACAAUAUAUAUGGUGGAGAAAAUUUGUAAAUAUGUAGAAGGGAUUUCUGAUUUCUUUGUCAACAAUUGGACGAGACUUUUCUUUGCAUACAUUUUUGGAAUGCAAGUGCAAUCGCAAAAAGCUGUACUCAAGUCAAAGGAUUUUUUCUAUUGCUCAAAUGAGCAUUCAUGCUCCUAGGUGCUCAUUGGUUGGGUAUUUACAUAAUCAUAAUUAAUAAAUAAAUUAAAUUGUAAGUGAGUAUUAUAUAUAUAACUAGGUUAUAAUUUGCUAUAAUCUGUUAUUGUUUUUAAAGUAUGAGUAUAUAAUCAGUUUCGAAUAAACUAAUUAUAUAAUAAGUUAUAUUUAAAAUAAUUAUAUAAUUUGUCAUGAAUAAAUAAAAUAAGUUAUUUAAAAUAAUCAUAAAUAUAAAAUUAGUUAUAGUUUUAUACCCCAUUUUAUAUAAUUAGUUAUAUAAAACUAGUUGCAGUUGUUUUUUAUAAAUAAAAUAAAAAAAUAGCAGUCAUACAUGCUCCCUUUAUAGCUUUAUUAUAUAAGAAGCAUUCUAUGUUUACAGUGAAGUGUGAAGUUGUUUAGAGUUAAAACUCAAAACUGGGUGAACCUAGCAAGCGAGUUCAUCUCCUCAGCAGUAAAGUUGAGUUUUUUUUGUUAUAUAAAAUAAGUUCUUUAUUAAUUUAUAAAAGUAAAUAAUUAUAUAUCACUUGACCAAUACAAAAAUCAUAUAUCAUAUUAUAUAAGUUUCUCAACCUGUCCCACGCCUCAUGAGAAAGUGCAGACUUAUUUAUCAGCUAAUAUUUAUGAAUGGCCUCUAAUUUGUUUUUUUUUUCUUCUAAAUUGAUCUCUUCAUUUUUUAAUUCCUAAAAGAAUUCCCUUAUUUUUUUUUAAUGACACGCUAGUCUUUUUAAAAAAAUUGUUUUUUUUUCAAUUUUCGAACACAAUGUUAAAUGUUUUUUUAUUAAUUCAAUAUGUGAAACUUGUUCCAAUGUAUUCAUCUAGAAUUAAUUAAUGUUUAAAACAAAAGCAAGUAAACAGCCAUAAAUAAAUGUGAUGAGAAUUGCUGAGUCUCAUCAAUAACCAUAAAACUAAAAAUAAGGUUCACUUUUCAUCAAGUUUACUUUUUUAUUGCUUAUAUGACUUACUUUUCGUGUAACUUUUACCAUGUGUUGUUAUGAUGCUUUGUGUAUAACAGUUGAUUUCUAUAGUUUUAGUGAAUUUAAAAUAAAAUUUAUGUCUUGAAUUAAUAAAAAAAUAUUUAAAAUUGUAUUCAAAAUAUUGAAAAAGAAAAAUGUUUCAAAAGGAGCAAGGUAUCAUUAAUUAAGUAUGUAAGGGUAUUAUUUUAGAGCUUUUAAAAUUUAGAAAAUCAAUUUAAAAACAAAAAAUAAGUUAAGGACCAUACAUAUAUUUUAGAAAAAAAAUUAUACAUUGAUAACAUAAAUUUUUUACGCAAUAAUUCAAUCAUAUUAUAUAUGAUAAGUGUAUGUACUCUUAAAAUAAGUCACUUACGAUGAGAUAAUAUUAAAUUCUAUAUUUUAACCUCAUUUAUUUGUUUAGUUAGUUAUUAAAAUUGCAUUGGGAGCGAAUGGGGCAAGUAAGGAAAUAAUAUGAUUCAUUGGGGGGUAAUUUGCAAAAUUUGACGGAAGCUCUUGGGGGUUCUGCUUAUUUUUGCCCUAAAAACCCUCUAGGUUUUCUAUACCUCUCUCAUUUCCCAACGCAGCAGCAGCGGCAGCUUCAUCUGUUUUUCUGCAUCGGCGUGAACAAUGGCGACGUACGCUGCGAUGAAGCCCAAUAAGCCUGGCUUGGAGGAGUCCCAAGAACAGAUCCACAAGAUAAGGAUCACCCUUUCCUCCAAGCACGUCAAAAAUCUCGAGAAGGGUAUGAAGCUAUUCAUUCUACUUUUUCUUUUUAAGGUUGUCGCUGUCCUUAGGCUUAUGUUUCGAUUUUCAUGUUACUGUUAGUUUGUGGGGACUUGGUUCGUGGUGCAAAGGAUAAGAGGCUCAGGGUUAAGGGACCUGUCAGGAUGCCCACUAAGGUUCUUCACAUCACUACCAGGAAGUCCCCCUGUGGUGAAGGUAUUUUUUUCACUCUUUCCACGCUUGUUAUUAUGGUUAAUUUGCCCCUUUUAUUCUCUGCUUUUCAUUCAUGUUCAUUAUUGGCAAAUGUUAGUUUUUUGAAGGUUAGUUUUGUUAGCAGAGGGGUCGAAACCGCGACCUUUCCCUCUUCCCUUGUCCCUUAACCAUUCAACCCACGUUUUUAGUUUUUUCUGUGUUGUAAUUUUAAUAUGCCUGUCCUUUGUAUAAGUUGUAGUUUUAGAGAAAGUCAAGGCGAAAGUAGUGACCGAAAAUAUCUCCUAGGUGGUGAAAUGUCAAAGAUGAGGAACCAUGGAAAAGAACUUGCUUAUGAAAAAGAACUUUGUCAAUUGUCUUUUGCAAUAUCUCUUAGUUUGCAAGGUCUGGAUUGUGCUAAAGGGAAAGCUUGGGAGGUUAAGAGAGUUAUGUUGUUUUUAUAAAUAUGAAUAAGGGAUUAUUGGGAGGUUUCGAUGAUUAUCUGUUAUUUAUUUUUUCAUUCUGAAAAAGUAUCAAUUGUGUAAAAAAAAUGUGUUUUGUUUCGUUUUUCAUUUUUUUUUUUUUUUGAAGAGCAGGGCAAAUUGUUCAAGUUAUUUCUCUAUUGUUCUCAAUUUAUUUUAAUUGAAUGACAUUUGGAACUUAAAUCAGAAUGUUCUUCAACAAAUUGUGGUGUAAAUUGAGUGUCCUAUGCACAUGGUUUGCAGAAUUGUCUCUUCUGAGUUUUGUCAUUUGUUAUCAUGUGAUUGAUUUUAUGUGACUUGUGGGCAUAGGCAUUCUUGCAAUCUAAAACAUGGAAAAACUGCUGUUGCAGCUAAUUGUGUGUUCAUAUGUUUUCUACGGAACACAAAUACAAUUAUAUUAGUUAGCUUGUUUAUUUGAUUUUUGAACUAUUGUGUUCAAUGUAUACACUUUCUGAAUGCUGUUUAUUGUUGAUAUUAUUUGAUUUCUGAAUGCCUUGUGUUCAUGAAACUGCCUUUUGUUUUUAGGUACCAACACAUGGGACAGAUUUGAACUUCGUGUGCACAAGAGGGUGAUUGACCUCUACAGUUCCCCAGAUGUGGUUAAGCAGAUUACCUCUAUCACGAUUGAACCUGGUGUGGAGGUUGAGGUGACCAUUGCAGAUGCUUGAUCUGGAUCCAAAUUUUAACUGUUAUGCUUCCUAGUUUUUUUUCCCUCUCUUUUUGUAUUUUGUAAGUUUUGAUUGUGGGACUGAGUUGGAUUGUUUUCUCUAGUUUUAC
rnacentral:lncRNA from 1 species